UACGUAGGGUGCAAGCGUUAAUCGGAAUUACUGGGCGUAAAGCGUGCGCAGGCGGUUUUGUAAGUCUGACGUGAAAUCCCCGGGCUCAACCUGGGAAUUGCGUUGGAGACUGCAAGGCUAGAAUCUGGCAGAGGGGGGUAGAAUUCCACGUGUAGCAGUGAAAUGCGUGGAUAUGUGGAGGAACACCGAUGGCGAAGGCAGCCCCCUGGGUCAAGAUUGACGCUCAUGCACGAAAGCGUGGGGAGCAAACAGG
rnacentral:rRNA from 1 species